GGUUCUGAGAGGAAGGCCCCCCACACUGGGACUGAGACACGGCCCAGACUCCUACGGGAGGCAGCAGUGAGGAAUAUUGGUCAAUGGGCGGAAGCCUGAACCAGCCAAGUCGCGUGAGGGAUUAAGGCCCUGCGGGUCGUAAACCUCUUUUGCCGGGGAGCAGUGGUCCGGACGCGUCCGGGCCGGGAGAGUACCCGGAGAAAAAGCAUCGGCUAACUCCGUGCCAGCAGCCGCGGUAAUACGGAGGAUGCGAGCGUUAUCCGGAUUUAUUGGGUUUAAAGGGUGCGUAGGCGGGCAUUUAAGCCGGCGGUCAAAUGUCGGGGCUCAACCCCGGCCUGCCGUCGGAACUGGGUGCCUUGAGUGGGCGAGAAGUAUGCGGAAUGCGUGGUGUAGCGGUGAAAUGCAUAGAUAUCACGCAGAACCCCGAUUGCGAAGGCAGCAUACCGGCGCCCUACUGACGCUGAGGCACGAAAGUGCGGGUAUCGAACAGGAUUAGAUACCCUGGUAGUCCG
rnacentral:rRNA from 1 species